rnacentral:lncRNA from 1 species
UAUCAAUCGACAAACCGAACGUUCGAUAGUACUUGUAGAAUCAUCCAUUAGUCGAAUAUCCAUUUGACAUACUUUUAAGCAUUAGAAUAAAUGGUAAUAAGCCGAAUGCCUUGCGUCCAAUCUUAGUCGGCUUAGUACAUCAAGUUAUUUGAUAAUCGAUGGCAAGCUGAAUAUCCUUCGACCGAUCAUAGUCAAGUCGGUAUAAUUUUAAUCCAAC